GAGUAAUGCGUAGGAAGCUACCCGAUAGAGGGGGAUACCAGUUGGAAACGACUGUUAAUACCGCAUAAUGUCUACGGACCAAAGUGUGGGACUUUCGGGCCACAUGCUAUCGGAUGCGCCUACGUGGGAUUAGCUAGUUGGUGAGGUAAUGGCUCACCAAGGCGACGAUCCCUAGCUGGUUUGAGAGGAUGAUCAGCCACACUGGAACUGAGACACGGUCCAGACUCCUACGGGAGGCAGCAGUGGGGAAUAUUGGACAAUGGGCGCAAGCCUGAUCCAGCCAUGCCGCGUGUGUGAAGAAGGCCUUCGGGUUGUAAAGCACUUUCAGUUGGGAGGAAGGGUUGUGUGUUUAUAGUACACAGCCUUGACGUUACCAACAGAAGAAGCACCGGCUGACUCUGUGCCAGCAGCCGCGGUAAUACAGAGGGUGCAAGCGUUAAUCGGAAUUACUGGGCGUAAAGCGCACGUAGGCGGUUUUUUAAGUCAGAUGUGAAAGCCCCGGGCUCAACCUGGGAAUUGCAUUUGAAACUGGAAAACUAGAGUGUGUGAGAGGGGGGUAGAAUUCCAAGUGUAGCGGUGAAAUGCGUAGAGAUUUGGAGGAAUACCAGUGGCGAAGGCGGCCCCCUGGCACAACACUGACGCUCAGGUGCGAAAGCGUGGGGAGCAACCAGGAUUAGAUACCCUGGUAGUCCACGCCGUAAACGAUGUCUCCUUGGAGGUUGUGCCCUUGAGGCGUGGCCUC
rnacentral:rRNA from 1 species